rnacentral:lncRNA from 1 species
CAGCCUUUUUUUUUUUUUUUGUAUUUUAUUUAGAGACAAGGUCUCACUGAGUUGCUUAGCCCCUUGCUUUUGCUGAGGCUGGAUUUGAAUUUGCAAUCCUCCUGCCUCAGCCUCCCAGGCUGGUGGGAUUACAGGCAUGUGCCACAGCACCAGGUGGAAGGACAAUUUCUUGAUGUGAAAUAAUCAGGCAGAUCUGUGGCAGGGCUGCUUAAGCCUGUGGAUAGAGAUCCAUAUGUUUAGUUUUUGUCUCCACCUCUUUUUUCCCCUAUUUUCUGUUACCUGUCCUUACAAUACACUCAAUCAUGUAUGUGCAGCAAGGCCUGUAAAUAUAGACAUCACCCAUUAUUAAGUGGUGGACCUCUCUUACUAAGUGAAAAAGAAACAGUCCAAAAGUACUCUAGGAGUAGAGUGGAGGUUGCCAGGGACUGGGAGUUAUCUUUAUUAAGGGUGAAAAGUUGCAAUUUGCCAAGAUGGAAAUGUUCUGAAGAUGGUUGGUGGUUAUGGUUGUACAACUGUGAAUGUACCCAAUGUCAUGAAACUGUAGAAUUCUAGUUAAAUAUUAAAUUUUGUGAGUAUUUUACUAAUACACACACACACACAUAUAUGUGUGUGUGUGUGUAUUAAAUAAGUCUGAUUCAGAAAGUCAAGGUUGAAUGUUUUCUCUCAUAGAAGGAAGCUUGACCAAAGAAAGGGGAAAAAGUGGGGGAGGAAUCCUGUGAAAAUAGAAGGGAGAUCAGUGGAGCAAAGGAUGGGGAGGGAGGAGGAAUGGGAAAGGAGAGGAACAAUGGAAUGAAAUUGACCAAAUUAUGCUAUGUACAUGUGAAUGCACCACAGUGAAUUUGACCUUUAUGUUUAUAUAUAAAGAACUAAAAUUUAAAAUUAUAAAUAAAUAGAAGGAAGACCAUUAGAGUAGAAGGGAAAUAGGAGGAGGGAGAAGGAGAGGAAAAAGGGAAGUACUGGGGACUGAAGUGGAGCAAAUUUUAUUCCAUGAUAUAUAAUUAUGUCAAAAUGAGCCCCACUAUUAUGUGUAACUAUAAUAUACUAAUAAAACAUUCAGAAGUAAACACAUAUGCUGUGUUGAUGAAGAUUUACUACUGAUAUACCACUCUUUAAAAUGCCUUUUUUUAAAUUGAUUUUUUUAUAGGACAGCGGAAUACAUUACAAUUCAUAUUACACUUACAGAGAAAAUUUUCAUAUCUCUUGUUGUAUAUAAAAUAUAUUUACACCAAUUUGUGUUUUCAUACAUGUACUUUGGAUAAUGAUAUGCAAACAUAAGUCAAAUGUUAUUCAAGUCAAAAUGUCUGACUUUCUGUGAUCUCAUUUUUCCCUUUUCUGGUUGAAUCCUAUCACUCCUAUUUCAAAACUUAGCUUACAUACCACUUUUUCUAAGUAGUGUUUUCUAAUUUCUCAGCUAGAAUUAACAGUUCCAUUUUUUUCUUUGAAAUUACACUUAACCAGUAAGGGGGAAGAGCAUAUGACUCAGUAAAUCCCAAAGGUAUAUAUGCUAGAGAAAUGAAAAUAAAAUGUUCACAUAGUCACAGUUGACAUGUUUGUCUCCAACACUGGAACAUCGGCUUGAAAGGAGUGUUGUCUUGUAUAUCUAAGGAUUCUGGUUUCCUGAGUACUCAGAAGCCUGGAAUCAAAAAGAUGAUCAAUAAAAAGCUGGUUGCACUACUUUUAUUAAUUGCAAUAAAUGCAGUAGCAAAUGAAGUAAAUGCAAAUGCAUUUAAAAAGAUUUUCUUUCAGUCUUCUUAUUAGUAAAGGUAAAUGCACAAAUGUGAUUAUGAGGUGGUAAUUAGAAAACUAUGUCUAUAUUUCAAUGUCUAUAUCAUAGAUAUAUAGAUAUAGUAUCUAUAUAGCUAUAUAAUUUUAUGUAUCUAAUAUAUAUGUGUGUGUGUGCCGCAGUCCGGCUGCAGCAAAAUAACCGGGGGGCAACGAGCAACUUGUGUAGAUUGAUACAGCUGGAGUGGGAGCCGUUUAUUGUAGGACAGGAGUGGUAUAUAUACAUUCCACACAGCUUAUCUUAAUUAACAUAAACUAGAUACAGCAGUCAACCAAUAAGGAAUCUCCACACUUAAUGGCUCCCUGGCGUUACUUCACAAACCACUCCCUCUGGCAAAAUGCCAGGCACCAUCCAGACUUGUUUACAGACUCUAACAUUUGUCAGGUGCCAUCCAGACUUGUUUACAGACUCUAACAUUUGUCAGGCUCCAUCCUGACUUUUUUACAGACCCUAACAUUUCCCCCUUUUGUUUAAUUUAAAUAACCAGCAUAGUGGUUUUUACACAAACACCAUAAAUAAUCUGCUACAAGCAGAAGGGGAGGAUACAAAAUGCCACAAUACCAAGCCAAUUGAUGGCUCCAUGCAAGAAGCCCUUGGAAAAAUUAUACCAGCAAUGACACCAUUAGCAAAGAUACCGAGUUACAAUUUGUUGUAGAUUACAGUUUGUUGUCUCAGUCCAGGUAAAGUAGUGUCUCAAUAGAUUAACUCACAGUCCAGGUAAAUCAAAGUCCAGGUAAGUUCUGCAGGCAGCUAGCUUAAAUCACAGUCCAGGUAAGUGCUGCAGGCAUCUAGCUUGAUCCAAAGUCUUGUCCGGUUCUCUUCCACCUUCGUCUUCACUGGCACUGGGACGAAGGCAGGAACUCCGGAUGGCUAAAGAAAAUCCUGUAGUAUUCCAGCAGACACUAAGAAAACAAUCUUCUGAACAAUUUAGUACAUUAUCUCAAGGUUUUUUACAUUUGAAAUAAGCCUUAAUAGUGCUCAUUACUCAUUAGCUUCCAGGUGUGGGAGAACCACUGUAGUUACCGGCCUUGGAAAUAAUCAAACUUCAGGGACACGGGCCAUCUUCCAUUUGCAGCAUCUCUGACAGCCCCAGAUGGCCCCAGAGAGAGUCCGGGGAGUGUCCCGGGCAGAGGCCCGGGGAGAGUCCCAGGGAGCGUCCCGGACUCAAACUGUCACUGGGCACAGGGAACAAGAGCCUGAGAGACUGUGCCUCCAGGUCAGGUUUGGAUUUGGGCUCUCGAAAUGGCAUCCCACUCCCCAGGCAGGGGGUAGGGAAGAGCCGGCUGCUGCUGUUUGGAAAGUCCUUGCUGCGCCAUGACCGGCUCACGCAUGUGGCAGUGGCCGCCGCUGCCGAUUGAUGUACCCUCCCGUAAUGAAAAGUAUUUAGUAGUAGCCUUUUGCAAUUUCUUUCUUGAUAAUCUUUCCUCCUCUGAACUUUUUUAUUCUUUCUGAUUAGAGUUCCUGGGAUUCUAUCAACACAUGCCCUAACUAUUCUUGGUUCCAUUGGGGUGCCUCUUUCCCUUAGUAAUUUACUUCUCACCCCUUCCAUAUUUUCAUCAUAAAGACAAUACAAUACACUGAGACAAAACAAGACACAAACAUACUGUAUCAAUCUUCUCCAUUUUCUCGAAAUGGCCAUUUUUCCUCUUGCCCUAUCUGCCUAGGGACAAGCAGAUUUGCUCCUGUCCUAUCUAUGGAUGGGCAGCUUUUUUUCAUCACUUACCCCCGAGUGUCCCGGGGCUCCCCAUACGGGCCACCAUCUGCCGCAGUCCGGCUGCAGCAAAAUAACCGGGGGGCGAUGAGCAACUUGUGUAGAUUGAUACAGCUGGAGUGGGAGCCGUUUAUUGUAGGACAGGAGUAGUAUAUACAUUCCACACAGCUUAUCUUAAUUAGCAUAAACUAGAUACAGCAGUCAACCAAUAAGGAAUCUUCACACUUAAUGGCUCCCUGGCGUUACUUCACAAACCACUCCCUCUGGCAAAAUGCCAGGCACCAUCCAGACUUGUUUAUAGACUCUAACAUUUGUCAGGUGCCAUCCUGACUCGUUUACAGACCCUAACAUGUGUGUGUGUGUGUGUGUGUGUGUGUGUAUAUGUAUAUAUAUAUAUAUAUAUAUAUAUAUAUAUAUAUAUAUGAUGCAGAUAUUUAAAAUUCAAGAAACUAGGUGGAAAAAUAUUCCAAAAAUUAAUUUUC